GUGAACUGAUGGGGCCACUCUAAGGCACACACCCUUGUAAGAGGGGACACUAUCUUGACUGAUUCUUUGCACCUUAUGAAGGAAGCUUUAAAACACUUGAGUGGAGCUAAUGGCUGGUAUUUACAGACACAGUGACUGCAUCAAAGAUACACCGGAGACUUCACCUGGAUCUACUGAAUGGACACCUGGGGACUACCCUCUAGAAAUCAGAGGGGAAAACAUUUCUGGCAGAAUUGUACCUUAUCAGGACCAGGGAAAGGACAGCAGGGACCAUCAAGUGAGCAAGACAAAACCCGAAAGAAAACAGCUCACAGUUUUUUGAGUGCCUGGCAAUGGAAGUCCCUGGUCCAUGUAACCAGCUAACACACUUGGUUCCUAACAGCAAGUUGGGAAAAUAACCCCUGGUGAUUGGCAUGGAAAAGCCCAGCGUGAAAAGCCUGAGGGACAGAGCUCUGCAGUGACACGCAGAGGCUGGCCAGGAGGCAGAGUCACCUGGGUGACAGUGUCCUUAGGAGAUGGCUUUCUCUGAAGUAAAGCGGAAGAGCAGGGAGCCCAGCACUCCAGAGAGAAGAGCGCGAGGGCAAGAGCUCCUUUGACUAGUGUUGUCCACUGUCCCGUGCAUGGGACUGAGGAGGUGAAUUAUUUGGGAAUGUAGUUCUAGUUUUACGUACGUAAGUCAGCAUGUAUUGCUAUAAAAUCAUAGAAAUCUUCAUUAAAUGAAAGUGCCAAAAUGGGAAAGGAAUGUUUUGCCCCA